UUCCUCUCUAGGACUCUCGGAGGUCGGAGCAUCUCGAUGGCUGCUCAUCCUCUUAGGCUGUUCCAAGUGCGCAAGGGGCUCUGUCCCGAGCUAACUGCAUUCCUCGAAGCUCUGGGUCGCGGGUCCCUUUGCUCCUCCAUGCUUUUGCACCUGCUUUCCCUCUGUGGUAUGGACUCUCCAGACAUACACGGGACACAGCGCCUCCCUUUUAGGGGGUUUCAAUCCAGUAGGUCAACACAUAUUUAUUCCUUGUGCCCCGCUGCUUAUUGCCAUGCGUAGGGACUGAGAAUGUCGGAGGAAGGAACUUAAUAUACGUUUACAUAAGAGAGGCUCGACUGCAGUAGUUGGGGGAGGGUAAUCAGGGAAGUCUUACUGGAGGAGUCGGCACCUGCGCCGGGAUUUCAAAAGUGGACCAAAAAAUGAGCGAACAGUAGACUGGUUGAUCCUGUAAUGGCGGCCUACGGCAGCAUAGCUUUUGCCUUCCUUUAACAUGUCCAGAAGUUCCACCUUUUCUUUGAUGAGAUUUUUGAAGAAAAUUUAAAAAUACUUGCCUGAAAACUGCAAAGGAAACCAGACACAUUCCAACCUCAUGCUCCCGGCCUGGAGAGAUCAGACUAUAACCAAGGGAAAUGGCAUUGUCCGAAAGAAAACAUUUCAGGAAAGGAGGAAAAGUGAGACAACUGGAACUAAACUGUCACCAUAUCCCUAUGAGAAAUUCCCAAGAUACCUUUUGGAGAGAAAUGUAAGAAACUAAAAAAAUAUACAAUUAAAAUACUUAGUGGCUGUUUUUCAGGUAUGUCUUAGCUCUUCUGCUUGAUGUAAGCCUCUGGAGAACAGGAACUGGCUCUGAUACCUCUGUGUACCGCCACAGUGUACUGCACAAGGUCAACCUGCCCUGAACACUCCUUAACAGUCCCAACAGAGCCCACUUGACUCUACCCAUGCUCGUCACAUUUCCCCUCCAGAAGGACAGACAGGACU